CUUUGAUAGGUUUGGUGAAGGUAAAAAGCAAUUUCUUUAGGAAUGAAUAGAGAAGAGAUGGAUGUGACAUGUCGUUGCUUCCACUGCAAAUUGCAAUCUCACCGCAGCUUUCACUCUUCCAUUUCAUCUAUCGGAAAAGUAAUUUCUUUCAUUCUCUAAUCCUUCUCUAUCAAUAGGCAAUUUCCUACCCCUUCACAGCUUUCCCUUCCACUCUCGAAAUCUCCAGAUCCCCUCCUCCCUUCACAGCUUUGAUGACUGUUCAAAUUCCAGACAGAACCAUCAUAGUCACCUCCUCCUUCUUACCUCCAUCAAUAGCCACCUCCUCACCUUUCCAUAUGCACCCUGUCGAGAGCUUCCACCAAGUCGGGCACGACAGAAGUAACUCCACCGUGCGGUUGUUCCAUGACGCCACUUUGGCCGUUGCCCCAUAGACUUUUCUAGGUAUCGUUCUAGAAGCAACACUUUUGCCAUUUAAGAAAUUCUAUGGAGAUGUCAUUUGUGCUUUAUAAGGAUUGGAUUUUCCCAAGCAAGUACUGAUCACAAAUCUUCUGAAGAGAACGCUAGCGAGGCUUUCUAAAUUGGCUUUUACCUUGAUGAGGAUUUCAGUGUCAUAAGCUUUGCUCUUCUGCUGUGCCGUUUCCCGUUUCUCGAAUUCAUCUGUCUGUAGCCUUUUGUUUUUUGAUUUGGAUUGCCUUUGGAAUGAACAUCUGCAAGCUUCCUAAAUGAAUCUAUAAAUACUCCUCCAUUUUUCAAGGAGCUGCGAACUCGAGUACUGCUAUGCGUUCACCUGUUCUUCCAGCUCCAAGGUCCUAUUCUGAAUGUUCAAUAUUAACAAAUUUGUUUUUUUUUCUCCCUUGAAUUUAAUUGUUGUUCUGGCGCAGUCUGAGGUAGUAGAUCGGAGAGACUUGCAUGCGGGUCAUGCGAUUUAAUACAAAACAUGCUUUGUACUAAAAGUUGUUUGAUACGUGGAUUUUUUUUUUGAACAUUGAUACUUGGAUAUUAUAUAUCAGAAAUGUUUCACUUUUUUUAA